rnacentral:lncRNA from 1 species
GCAUUCAAUCCAUAUGAGCUGAAGGAAAAGAUUGAUCGCCGUUCUGGUAAAAAGCUGGAAGAUGGCCCUAAAUUCUUGAAGUCUGGUGAUGCUGCCAUCAUUGAUGUGGUUCCUGGCAAGCACAUUUGUGUUGAGAGUUUAUCAGACUAUCCACCUCUGGGUGGCUUUGCUGUUCAUGAUAUGAGACAGGCAAUUGCUGUGGGUGUGUGUCAUCAAAGGAGUGGACAAGAAGGCUGCUGGAGAUGGCAAAGUCACCUAGUCUGCCCAGAAGGCUAAAUGAAUAUUAUCCCUAAUACCAGCCACCCCGGGUUUAAUCAGUGGUGGAGGAAUGGUAUCAGGGCUGUUUGUUUAAACUGGCCAUUUAAGUUUAAUAGUAGAAGACUGGUUAAUGAUAACAAUGCAUCGUAAAAUCUUCAGAAGGAAAGGAAAAUGUUUUGAGUACCACUUUGAUUCUCUUUUUUGCGUGUGGCAGUUUUAAGUUAUUCGUUUUUAAAAUCAGUAUUUUUUUCUUUUUUUUAAAUUAUACUUUAAGUUCUGGGAUACAUGUGCAGAAAAGUGCA